rnacentral:rRNA from 1 species
UACAGAGGUGGCAAGCGUUGUUCGGAAUUACUGGGCGUAAAGGGCGCGUAGGCGGUCUUGCAAGUCCUGUGUGAAAUCCCUCGGCUCAACUGAGGAACUGCACAGGAAACUGCUUGGCUUGAGUUCGGGAGAGGGAAGCGGAAUUCCGGGUGUAGCGGUGAAAUGCGCAGAUAUCAGGAGGAACACCGAUGGCGAAGGCAGGUCUCUGGGCAUUAACUGACGCUGAGGAGCGAAAGCAUGGGGAGCGAACAGG